AAACAUUUUUUUGUGCAUAAAACUCCUCAACUAUGAGCCUCAAAAUUUAUAGGCCCAUGGAUGAUGGGACACCAGAAUUUUUUUUUUUUUUUUUUUUUCUGAGGGCAAAUCAUUUCGGCCUCCCCAAUCGCCUCCAUCUCUAUUCUCGUUCUCAACUCUGAACUUGUCCUCUCUCUGCAACUAUAAAAUCCACAAGAAUCAGAAAUUCAAAACCCAUAUAUUUCAGUUUAUCUAUCUCUCUGCAAGAGCCAAAAGUUCAAAACGUAUUACCUAUAUCAAAACCCAUAUCGGCAUAUCAUUUAAUAUUGUUCAAAAAAUCAAAACCCAUAUCUUUCAGUUUCCAUCGCCCGCUGUUCCAGUUCGGGUUCGCUGUUCGCAAGCUUCAGCCGCUGGCCCGCUGUCUCUCGACUCUCAAGCUUGCCCCCCUCGGCCCUCUCUCUCUGCAACUGCUAACUUGUAUGUAUGGGUUUUGUUUUAAAUUUUUUUCUAAAUCAACUAAUCAAGGUCUGUAAUUCUUGUUUUGCAUUGUAUUUCGAGGUAAUCAUUGCAUUGCAUUUUGAGGCAGCAAAAGGCUCAUGACUUGGUUCAGGUCUUUUCAACCACAUGGGUAUUUGCUUUAUCAUCAAGUUCAUGAUACCAAGAUUCGUCUUGAUGCCCAAUAACUAGUAUCUUUAGCAUAUCGGUGAUUAAAAGGGUAUCAAGAUUCAUUGUCUCCAGUAACUCUUUUUAUUAGUAUCUGCUAUGUGAUGGACCUGUUUCCAAAGGAGAGGCAGGUACAAGAGGAGGUGAAAAUGAGGUUUUCCGAAAAGCCUAGAAGGCAAGAAUCCUGAUGUGACGAAAAGCAAAGUGGGAGCAACAUAUACUCACAUGGUUUUCAUUUGUUUAUACUGUACUAAGGCAUGAAUAAUUGAAUUAUUUUUUCAGUGCAAACACAUAAAUGGAGGAGUCCCUUCAGUCCAAUAAUCAGUCACUACCAUAAGGCAUAUGAUAAGAUGAUAUAUUGGGGACCCUCCCACUUGCACACCCACUGUAAUUGGACGCCAUUGCCAGCAGAGGUCAAUGGGUAUCUAUCUUGUCUCAAUCUCUAUGGACUCAGAUAAGCACAUGGUGACAUUAUAUUUGACUACUCACACAGGAUGAAAUUAAUAUGCGAAAUGACUCUGCCGGUUAUGGUGAUGAAGCAAGGAAGUCGAUUGCUCCAGGUUCAGAAGAAAGAAAAUAUUGUUGGAAAGUCAAUUGAUAAGCUUAAAGAAACCAGCACAGAUGUUUGGCAAGGGACUCAGCUUCUAGCCGUUGAUGUUGCUGCAGCUCUGGGAUUGCUUAGAAGGAUCCUAGUAGGGGAUGAAUUGACAGAGAAAGAAAAGAAAGCUCUCCAAAGAACUUUAACUGAUUUAGCAUCUGUAGUUCCUAUUGGUUUUCUUAUGCUCCUUCCUAGUGAUCUGAGGAAUGGAAGUGGUUAUGGCACCCACCUUGUAUAAACUGAAGCUAAGCGAGACGAACCUCACGGGCCCAUUGCCGGUUUGGCUGGUUUAGGGUUACUGCAAUAGGGCAUGCGGCCAUGUUGGCUGCAAUUCAAAGAUAUGUACCAGCACUGAAAGGUUAGAUCUCGAGGCAGUUUGAAAAGGUGAAAGAAUUGGAAAGUAGCGAGAUGAUCCAGAACGAAAACGCUGAGGAAUUAGUCUGAGGCAUCACACCAGUUCCUUUUCCUCACAAUCGAGCAAAUUCUCUUCUGCUUUCAUCUUAACCUGACUAUGAAUCCCUCUAAUGGUAGCUGAGUAUGUGUCUGGUAUGCCAGGUGGGCACAAGUGAAUGCAGUCGUGUGGAGAAGCCACCGGAGUGCCUGGCUCGUGACGUGAUGGCUUGAAGGGUGACCAUCUUUCCUAAAGUGGGUUGUAAGAUGUUUUAAGAACUUUGCUUUUUUGUUAGUACUUUUUGUGUAAUAACAUCAGAAAUAAAAUGAUUCAGGGGCUCGGUUUCUA